GGUCGGCUGAUCAGAUGCCGGGGAUAAAAGGCGCCUCAAAGGGUCCAGACCCGGGUCCGAGGCACGGGGAGACAGAGGCAGCAGCUCCGUGGCAUCAGAGCCGUCUGCAAAAAAGGACAGCAGGGGAACGAGGAGGGCAGAUUUUAGACUGAUCAAAGUGCUGCAAAUAGAUUACAUUGUGUGCGCAGGAACCAAAAGGUAUUUUACCUGGUCUGCAGCAGUUCUGGGUUGACGGAGUGCUGCCUGCGGAGCGGAGCCUGUUUGGUCUGGUUGGCCGGCUGGCUCUCG